rnacentral:rRNA from 1 species
UAGCCGCAGAAUUCUGUGCUAAGGUAGCAUAAUCAUUUGUCUUAUAAUUAAAGACUAGAAUGAAAGGUCAAACGAAUAAAAAAUUUUAAAUAAAGCAAAAAUUAAAAUUAAAUUUAUUGUAAAAAUACAAUAAUAAAACAAAAAGACGACAAGACCCUGUCGAACUUAACACUUGUUAUACUGGGGUAGUAUUUUAAUAAAAAUUUUAACCUAAAUAAUAUAAAACUAUCCUUUAAAGAAAAGAAAAAGUUACCGCAGGGAUAACAGCGCAAUUUAUUUUUAAAGCUCUCAUUAAAAAAUAAGAUUACGACCUCGAUGUUGAAUUAAUAUAUCAAGCAUAAGCAAAAUUAUGCCAGAAAGUCUGUUCGACCUUUAAAUAAUUACAUGAUUUG